CGAGGGGCAGCGGAGAGUAGCAACACUCUGCCGGCGACCGGCGAAAGGGUGCGUAACGCGUGAGCAACUUGCCCGUAUCCGGGACAUAAGCGGUGGAAACGCCGUCUAAUUUCCCAUAACAACGAGGGCCGCAUGACCCAUGUUUGAAAGAUCCGUCGGAUACGGAUGGGCUCGCGAGACAUUAGCUAGUCGGCGUGGUAACGGCACACCGAGGCGACGAUGUCUAGGGGUUCUGAGAGGAAGGUCCCCCACACUGGAACUGAGACACGGUCCAGACUCCUACGGGAGGCAGCAGUGAGGAAUAUUGGUCAAUGGGCGCAAGCCUGAACCAGCCAUGCCGCGUGAAGGAAUAAGGCCCUAUGGGUCGUAAACUUCUUUUGCGGUGGAGCAAUAAGGUGCACGUGUGCAUCGAUGAGAGUACAUCACGAAUAAGCAUCGGCUAACUCCGUGCCAGCAGCCGCGGUAAUACGGAGGAUGCAAGCGUUAUCCGGAUUUAUUGGGUUUAAAGGGUGCGUAGGCUGUUCGACAAGUCAGGGGUGAAAGCCCAGUGCCUAACACUGGAACUGCCUUUGAUACUGCCGAGCUGGAAUACGGAUGCCGUGGGAGGAAUGAGUAGUGUAGCGGUGAAAUGCAUAGAUAUUACUCAGAACACCGAUUGCGAAGGCAUCUCACGAAUCCGUCUUGACGCUGAGGCACGAAAGCGUGGGGAUCAAACAGGAUUAGAUACCCUGGUAGUCCACGCAGUAAACGAUGAUAACUAA
rnacentral:rRNA from 1 species